UAAGUAAGCAAAAAAAAAAGAGCAAUGCUACGUACAGUCCUCAUUUGGGGACUGCAAUGCAAGCCUAGCCAAUUCUAUGUUUAAAAUUUUUUAAAAUUACAAAAUUAUCCCUCCUAAAAUAAUGAUUUUUCUCAUUUAAUAAAGGGCCUGCACAUACAGCCCCCAAGUGGAGACUGCAAAUAGAAUUUCUC